UGGAGGCACACACCUGUAACCUUAACACUGGGGAUGUUAGAAGCAAGACAAUCAGGAAUUCAAAAUCAUCCUCAGCUACAGAGCCCCUGUCACUGGCACAGAGCAGCUGUUCUAUGAGCUGAAGCGGCUUUCUAGUGUCCUCUAGAAACAGCUCGUGUGGGACAAAGGAAAGCUCACUUAACAUGCAGACACCAGCGGUGGGACACAGAUGGAGCCUGAGCGUGUUCAGUGUCAGCCCCCAGCAGUGGGCACUUCAUCAACAUGAUGCCUGGUGCUUAACCCUGAAACCACAUCCUUCAUUCAGCCUGGAGCACCCCUCAGCCCAACAGUCUACUCCCUGAACUCCAGCUGAACCCCUCAGGAAGUUGAGCCAAACUCAUGAUUGGGUAAAUAAAAGA